CUUAAAGAUAAUAUAUCUCUUUCAAAAUCAAUUCAGUGGGCAUAUCAAAGAAUUCCAAUCCAAAUCACUAGAAUUGAUAGUGUUACAGAAUAAUAAACUCCAAGGUCCUCUUCCAUCUUCAAUAUUCCAACUUCUCAAUCUUACCCACCUCGUUUUAUCCUCAAAUAAUCUCAGUGGUGUCAUAGAGUUUCGCAUGUUCUCAAACCUUCCAAAUCUAGAAGUUCUCGACCUUUCAUAUAACAGCCUAUCCUUAACAUCUAAUACUACUUCUACUGUUAAUCUUACAAGCUUAAUUUUGUCAUCUUGCAAUCUUAGUGAAUUCCCCCAAUUUUUGAAAGGGCUUAAAAGUUUGGAAAGGUUAGACCUCUCUUGCAACAAAAUUGAAGGCAAGAUUCCACAGUGGAUGCAAGAGGUGGGGAAUGUCUCUUUGACUUACUUCAACGUAUCUCACAACUCUUUGACAGAAGUUGAGCACUUUCCAUGGAAGAAUAUUGCAUUUCUUGACUUAAGCUCCAAUUUGGUCAGUGGAAAUCUUCCGAUUCCAGCUUCGACGAUCAGAGUCUUUCUGAUCUCAAAUAAUAGUUUCAAUGGAGAGGUCUCUUCUUUAAUAUGCAAUGCCAGUUCUCUUCAAAUUCUUGAUUUGUCCCACAAUAACUUGAGUGGAACAAUUCCGCAAUGUUUCGGAAAUUUGAGCGACAGCCUUGAAUUCUUGAAUCUGAAGAAGAACAAGUUUUAUGGGACGAUUCCUCCAACAUUUGCAGAGGGAUGCCAGUUGACUAAUUUCAACUUAAAUGGAAAUCUGUUAGAAGGGCCUUUGACACCAUCCAUCCUUAAUUGUAGAGGUCUGGAAGUGCUAGAUCUUGGUAACAACAAGAUCAAUGAUACAUUUCCUCAUUGGUUGGGAAAUCUUCCAUAUUUGCAAGUUCUUGUAUUGAAGUCAAAUCAUAUGCAUGGUUCUUUGCGUGUCAAUAGCUCCAAGUCUAGCCCCUUUUUCUCUAAAAUCCAAAUUUUUGACCUCUCAAGUAAUUAUUUUUCUGGACCCCUACCUGUGAGGUACAUCAACAGCUUCAAGGCUAUCAUAAAUCUAGAGAAGAUUCGUAGUACAGUGUCGUACAUGGGGGUGAAUGGUCGGAAUGGUAGUGGCUUCUAUACCUAUUCCAUUGGAAUUGUUAUGAAAGGACAAGAUAUGGAAUUGGUGAAAAUUUUCACCAUGUGGAUGAUCAUUGAUCUAUCAAACAAUCAGUUUGAAGGGGGUAUUCCAAAGGUUAUUGGGAAGCUUAACUUACUGAAAGGGCUCAACCUUUCUCAUAAUAACCUUAGUGGUGGUAUCCCCACCUCAACAGGGAAUUUGACAAGUCUUGAAUGGUUAUGUAGUUUUAGAUGUUAAGGAUAGGCUGUUAUAUGAAAGGUCGCGAUGUUUUAGAUUUGGAAGGUUUGAGAACAUGCGAAGCUCUAUGACACCACUAAGAUUAUUUGAGGAUAAGCUGAGGGAGGUAAGAUUGAGAAGUUGGAAUAUUGAAGAUGGAAGAGGACCUUGGAGUUUAUUAUUUUCUAGAUCUAAAUAUUCUAGUGAUUUGGUUUGGAAUUCUUUGAUAUGACGGAAGUGUUCCAUUGAGUAAAUUGUCAAAUAACACUAAAUAUAUUAGAUUCGGAACAGCGGUUACCUCAUCUGGAAUAGAACCUUCUAAAGAAUUUUCAGAUAUUUCCAAGUAUUCCAACUGCGUUAGGUUUAGAAUUGACAAUGGAAUUUGUCCACUCAAUUUGUUUGAUCCCAAGUCUAAAUGAGUGAGUUGCAAGAGGUUUCCAAGUGAUCUUGGACCGGUCCUGAUAAGUUGGAAUCGGAGAGAACUAAAAACUUCAAGGACACAAGAUUCCCCAUCGAGUCAGGCAAUCCUCCAAAAAAAUUUGCGCCUCUAAUAAUCAAGUACUCCAAAGAUGAUAAAUUUGUGAUUGAGGCAGACAAUCCUUGAAAGAAAGAAUUUCCUGAUAGGUCUAGGUACUUUAAGGCCUGUAGAUUAUCAACCGAAUCAAUGAAUUCUGUAGAGAAGGACAUCCACGACAGAUCCAAAUGUUCGAGAUUGCUGCUCCGAUUGAACUUCAAAGUAUCAAGGUUGAGGUUUUGGUUACGUCCCAAGUUGAGGAGAUUGAGGUUUGGCAAAUCAAAAAUGUUUUUUGGGAAUUUUCCUUGCAAAUCACAACCAGCAAGACUGAGAGACCUUAGAGAAGAGGAUAGAUUCAUGAACACAUGAGCAUUAACAGAAGACAUGUUGAUUCCAUCCAAAAACAGGUGUCUGACCUCGGUUAGGUUGUGAACAAGUCCCUCCAGAGCAUAUUUGUCAAUUGUUUGUUCACCAAACACAGAGGAGGAGAGAUCAAGUGAAACCAAUUUUGACAGGUGGGAGACUUGGGAUGGGACUUCUCCUGCAAACCAUGUAUAAGAAAGCUUGAGGUAGAAUAGGCUUGUAAACCGACCGAACUCGGACCUAUCUUCAAACAUAUUAAAUACCCAUUCACUUCAAUUCUACUAUUCUUAAAUCAUUAAAGUUUUGUGGAAAAUAUGCUUCUUGGAUAAAAAUUAUUCAACACACAUGCCUUGAAUUUUAUGCAAUAAAAUAAAUCAAUAUAGGCCACACAUGCUUUGAAUUUUUAAGUAGUCCACAAUUUUGUUCGUUUGUGUGCAAGAUUCUACAUUGCUUGACAGCCAUACAUACUAAGUAAAUAGACACCCACAUUGUUUACGUAUUAUGAGGAAGAAGAUUAAGUCAAUCUACUUUGUAAUCUCAUCAAUCUUAAUUUUCUCAGUUGUUUAGGGAGUUCAAAUGAAAUACAAAAUUUUGGAAAAAAAAUGUAUCCAAUUUUGUGAAUGAAAAAUAUAUGGUAAAAAGGAUUUGGUAUGGAUACUUCGGCCCGGGUAUCAAUACUCAGAGUAAGUUAAAGCAUCAGUGGAUGAAGAAGGAUCUGGUUGGUGCAAAUGAAGUUAAAGCAUUUGUGCUGUGUCUUCAUAAUUUCUUGUUUAGUAGUCUGUCAGAAAGUUUUUCCUAUGGUGAAAAGUUGCAUUGGUAUGUGUCUGUUUUUAUGAUUGUACCAAUUCCUCUGUAUUUCAUUGCAUUUCGUACUAUUUGUAAGGGUUUAGUUCGAGUGUAACAUCUUGUAUGGUGCAACUAUGUGUGUCUUCUUUCUUGAAUUUCAAUUUUUAGUAAACAUUGUACUGCUCACCAUAAAAAAGGAUACAUGUAGAAUUACAAAAGAUUCAAUUAUUCAAGUUUGAGUUGCAUUUAUAAACACGUGGCGAUGAGAAUUUAUGAACGUAAGGUAUGGUUUGAGCCCUUUUGCCAUAUGCAUUUAUGUUGCAGAUGUUCAAAUAUUAAUUUAAGAGUAAUAUUUACAAUAGCAUUGCAGAGUAACAUAUUUAAGAUUGGAUUACACAGUCAAAAGAUUGCAGCAACGAUGAGAUUAAUACAAUUACAGGAAUUGGUAUCCUACAUGGCUUUUAGGCACGUAGCUUCAUUGACGAUGAGAUAAUUUUAGGAGGAAGCAACAGCAAGUGUGAAGUCAAUAGACAAUUGAUAGUCUUUAUUCUUUUGUGUGGAAAAUUAUUUGGGACCAAACUUAACGUGUUAUAAGGAAGAAGACUUUGUAAUCUCAUGAAAUGUUAAUUAUUUUACUUCUUUGGUAAAAAAAAAGGAAUUAAUUUUAUGAAUGAAAAACAUAUGGUAAAAAGGAAAUAGUUGUUGAUCACUAACAACAUGAUGAUUGUGGAAAUACAAAAAUUCCCAUAUAUGUGUUGAAUUCUGCAUAAUGUAAAUGUCCCGCAUUGCAUGUGAAUUCUGCAAUAGACCAAAUUUUACGUGUUAUAGUCCUUUAAACUGAGUUAAUGAAAAGUAAUCAUUCUUAUCAAAAUUAGUUAUACUCUUAAUUUAUAAUAAAAGAAAGAGUAAUUUGAGUUUAACUCAAAGGUUAAUAUGUCAUCAAUGGGCGAUGGCAUGGCGCUACCAUGUCAGCGAUUAUUUUCUUCUUUGAGUUAAGGUGAUUUCACCAAUUUUAGUUUACUUUUUAACUUCAAUUUAGGUUUAUGCUUAUUAGCUUCGAAGAUUCUAUGUGGGUGCCACAAUCAAAGGGUGAGUAAAAAGGGUUAAAAAUAAUUUUUUUUAAAAUAUUUUUAUUUUUAUUAAAAAUUUAGAAUUAGAAUUAGACAAAUUUUGUAAAUGUUAAGGGCUAACUUUAUUGAAUUUUUUUUUUCAGAAUUCGAACUAAAAUGACAAAUUUUGUAAAAAGCGCUAAAUUUGUUGAAUUUUUUAUAUUUAAGAUCAAAUUGAUAGAAUGUGUAAAUAUUAGAGGUUAAAUUCGUUAUUAGAUAAAAAAAAACCCACAUCAGCUUUCCGUCACUCAUCUAACGACAACUAAAGGGAGAGUGAUUAAAAUAUUUAAUUUCAAAAAGUUUAGCAACUAAUUGGAAAAUUUAAUAGUUGGGUGACUAUUUUUAUAGUUUACAACUUUUUUGGUCACCUGACUAUUAAGUGACACUUUUUUGUUGGAAUAAUAAUAAUUUUAGUCCUCAAUUUUUAUACUUUUUGUCAAUUUAACUCUGAUUAUAUAAAAUGAUUACAAAAAUGAAAUUCUUUUUAAAUUUUACAAAAUUAUAAAAAUUAAAAAUUAAAUGAAAGUAGAUAAGAAUUUCAAAUAUAAAUAAAGUGAGAGAAAAUGAGGGAAAUAUCAUUUUUAAACCCUACAAAUUGUCUUUGUAUUAUCUGUAAAGAAAUAUCUAAUAUCCAUUCUUUUAGAAAACAUAGAAAAAAGUUAAAAAAAGAUUAAGUAAAAUUAUCUGUAUAUAAUCUGCUUUUAUAAUUUGGGUUUUUAAAAAUAAAUUUAAAUGAAUUGAAAAUUCAAAUUGAGUUUGAAAAAGAAAAUUUUGAGGUAUAUUUUAUAUUUUUGCUAGAAAAAUGGCAUCAAAGUCGAUUUCGUAAGCUUUUGUAAUAUCAGUUACAGAUGUUCUUCAAGGGCAUGGAACUCAACUUGAAAAUUUUACUAAUUUGGUUGCAAAAAACAUUGAGGAAGCAUAUAAUGAUCUAACCUUUUUUUUUUGUUUUGUUCUGUUUUUAAUUUGUUAUGGGAUUCUAUUGAAUGAUAAUUUUUUUUAUUUCCCAUACAUUUUAGUUCUUCAACAACAACAUAUUCGAGAUUUUAUUUUUCUAGAAUUUUUAUAUAGAAGUUUAUAUUUUUUAAAAUAAUUUUGAGUUUCUUUUUAUAAUUUUUAUAUAGAAUCGAGGUAGAUUGGCAAAAAAAAUUAUAUAACAAAAUAGUAAAAUUGUUAUUAUAGCAACUACAAAGUGUCAUUUAACAAUAGGGUGACCAAAUUGUAACUUUUUUAGUUAAGUGACCAAAACGAAGAUUUACCCAUAGUUCAGUGGCUAAUUAUGUAGUUUACCCUUUCAUGAUUAAAAAAAUAGUUGUUAAGUUUUUCUUGUAUUAGAUAAGAUUUUAGAUGGUAAAAACCCUCGUUAGUCGCUCUCAAUUUUGAUAUUAAGUAAAUUGGUCCAUUUAAAAAAAAUCAAAGCAAUUUAAUCUUUGUUAAUUUCGAAAGUGAGUAGCUAAGGACAAUUAAUCACAAUGUCAAUAUUUUCCAUCAAUUGUACAUAUUUUUAUUGGUAUAAUAACAAAUUUAGCUCUCAAAGUUUACACAUUCUGCCAAUUUGGUCUUGAUUUAACAAAUUUAGCCCGCAACAAUUACAUAUUCUAUUAACAUUUACACAUAAUAUAUAAACAUCGAGAGCUUAAUUUGUUAUUAUAUCAAUAAAAAUUAUGUACAAUUUAUAGAAAGCAUUAACACAAUGAUUAAUUGUCCUUAGUUGCUCCCUUUCAAAAUUGAUAAUGAUUAAAUUGCUCUAAUUUUCUGAGAGGAACCAAUUUGUUCAAUAUAGAAAUUGAGAGGGACGAGAAAUGUGUUUUUUUUAUCCAUUUUAGAUACCAACAAGUGUUUGGCGUAGUGGCAAGGCAUAUUACAUUCUGAAGGAGAGAAUGCGUAUUCGUUGGAGAUAACAAUGUUGUGUGGGGUAUUCACGGAUCUCGAACACAGACUGUAAAACAUAUAUAAAGAAUAAAAAGAAUAACAUCUUAAUUUAAAUAAUUAAUAAAUUUUAAUUUGAAAAAAAGUAUUUUGAGAAACAUAGGUUUUAUAAAUAGUAAAAUUGAAUCGAUAAAACAUGUCCAUUAUAUCAGAAUCAUAAAAAUACAACUUAAUUAAUUUGAAUUUAAACUUAACUCAACUCAAUUUGAUUAUAAAAAAUUGAUAAUUUGAAUCCAAAAUGACAUGAUCUUGAAAUGAUUUGAUUUAGUGAUCAAACCCGAAUGGCAAAACUCGAAAUGAUGCAAUCCAAAAACACAAAGCAAAUGAACUAAACUAUGAAAAAAAAAAACCUUACACCGACUCAAAUCCAAAAUAAUUUAAUCCUAAAAUAACCUAAAUUUUAUGUAAUAUAAACUCGAAAUAACCCGAAAAUUUUUAAAUUAAAAUUGACCCGACCCAAAUUCACACCACCUAAAAUCAAUCGUAACCACCUAAUUAAAAAGCAUGAAAUGAAAUGAUGUAAAGAGAAAAUCAGAGAAAACCAAAUAGAAAGUAACAAGCUUUUUUCAGAAUUGAAAGCAAAUUCCGUACAUUCACGACAUGCAUAAAACAACAAUGGUUUAUAGAAUUUGAGUUUUAGUCCUGUACUUUUAAAGUUAAUUUUUCUUAAUUUAAAAAUAUUAGUUUAAUUAUUUAUGUUGGUUGUAGUUUCCGUUAGCUUAAUCAACAUGUUAAAUUACUAAAUUUUGACAGAAAAUACUUACGAGUUUAAUGAUUGUACCGAGAUUUUUAAAUAAAAAAGUCGGAAGACUUAAUUUCUAACCUUUUAAAUAUAGGGACUAAAAGCAUCUUUUAACUUUGAUAUUAUUAUUAUAAGUAGGGAUAAUGUCACCUUUGAUAUCUGUACUUUCAUAAAAUGUCUAGUGGUACAAGUACUUUGAAAAUAUAUAAUGUGGUACUAUCAGUAUGUGUUAUUAUUAUGGUACAUGUACUUUGAAAAUGUUUAAUGUGGUACCUAAACUAUUUAUAUAUGGUUUAUUAUGAUCCUUGGUAAAGACGGACUAUUAUGGUGGCUUAGGGGGCUCUUUGUCCCGCCACCCAUGCAAAAAAAAAAAAAAUCGGAGAAUUUUGUUUUUUCCUUUGAAAUUUUUAGAAAAUUUCAAUUAAGCCCCAAAAAUUUUUUAAAUUUUUCAUUAUACCUUUUAAUUUUUUUUGAAAAUUUUAAUUAAGUGCUCUUAAAAUUUUGAAAAUUCUCAUUAAUCUCACAAAAAAUUUUAAAUUUUUUUAUUAGACCCCCAAUUUUUUUAAAAAAUCUUAUUAAACCCUUAAAUUUUAGUGAAUUCCCCCAAUUUUUGAAAGGGCUUAAAAGUUUGGAAAGGUUAGACCUCUCUUGCAACAAAAUUGAAGGCAAGAUUCCACAGUGGAUGCAAGAGGUGGGGAAUGGCUCUUUGACUUACUUAAAUGUAUCUCACAACUCAUUGACAGAAGUUGAGCACUUUCCAUGGAAUAAUAUUGCAGUUCUUGACUUAAGCUCCAAUUUGAUCCGUGGAAAUCUUCCGAUUCCAGCUUCGACAAUCAAUGUCUUUCUGAUCUCAAAUAAUAGUUUCAAUGGAGAGGUCUCUUCUUUAAUAUGCAAUGCCAGUUCUCUUCAAAUUCUUGAUUUGUCCCACAAUAACUUGAGUGGAACAAUUCCUCAAUGUUUUGGAAAUUUCAGCUACCAGCUUCAAUUCUUGAAUCUGAAGAAGAACAAGUUCUAUGGGACGAUUCCUCCAACAUUUGCAGAGUUUUUCCAAUUGAGUAAUUUCAACUUAAAUGGAAAUCUGUUAGAAGGGCCUUUGACACCAUCCAUCGUUAAUUGUUAUGAGCUGAAAGUGCUAGAUCUUGGUAACAACAAGAUCAAUGAUACAUUUCCUCAUUGGUUGGGAAGUCUUCCACACUACAAGUUCUUGUAUUGAAGUCAAAUCAUAUGCAUGGUUCCUUAUGUGUCAAUAGCUCCAAGUCUAGCCCUUUUUUCUCUAAAAUCCAAAUUUUUGACCUCUCAAGUAAUUAUUUUUCUGGACCCCUACCAGUGAGAUACAUCAACAGCUUCAAGGCUAUCAUAAAUCUAGAGAAGAUUGGGAGUACAGUGUCGUACAUGGGGUUGAAUUAUCCUUGGGGUCCUGGCUUCUAUACCUAUUCCAUUGGAAUAGUUAUGAAAGGACAAGAUAGGGAAUUGGUGAAAAUUUUCACCAUGUGGAUGAUCAUUGAUCUAUCAAACAAUCAGUUUGAAGGGGGUAUUCCAAAGGUUAUUGGGAAGCUUAACUUACUGAAAGGGCUCAACCUUUCUCAUAAUAACCCUAAUGGUGAUAUCCCCACCUCAAUAGGGAAUUUGACAAGUCUUGAAUGGUUGGACCUAUCUUCAAGCAGUUUGUCUGGGACGAUUCCAAAUAGAUUGGUAGAUCUGCCAUUUCUUUCGUCCGUAAAUUUUCUGAAAAUCAACUCCAUGGUCAGAUUCCUCAAGGCAAACAAUUCAAAGGAAAUAAGGGACUAUGUGGAUUUCCGGUCUCAAAAGGUUGCAACAUCAUUGAGCCAGCACCUCCAAAUGUGCUUGGAAAAGAUGGCUCAAAAUCAAACAUUGCUUUUGGUUGGAAAGUGGUGUUGAUAGGUUAUGGAUGCGGAGUAGUGUUCGGAAUGUUCGUGGGAUAUGUUGUUUUCCAAACUGGAAAGCCGAAAUGGUUGGUGAAUUUGGUUGAAGACCAACAUGAGAAUAGGCGAAGAAGAAAGUCAAAGAAAGGCAAUUGCAGCAGUAGACGAAGAAGGAUCUAAUUACUGCAAAUGAUGGUGAAGAAUUAGUGUUGUAUUUUCAUAAUUUCUUAGUCUGUAGACCGUUUUGCCUAUGGUGAAGGGUUGCAUUGGUAUGUGUCUGUCUUUAUUAUUGUACCAAUUCCUCUGUCUUUCAUUGCAUUUCGUACUUUCAGUAAUGGUUUGUUUGAGUGUAACAUUUUGUAUGGUGGUGUUGUUUAUGUCUUCUUUCAUGACUUUCAAUUUAGUCUCGAUAAUCUUUGCUACUGCUCAGUAAAGGAGAAAGGAGAACAAAAUGGCGCAAUGAUCUCUGUUGUAUUUUCAUAAUUUUUUUACAAGUUAGCAGUAAAAGGUUUGGUUAUAUGGAGAAAGUAAUAAUAUAUAGCAGAGUUGAAGGAAUGAUAUAAUGAAUUGAAACAUGGAACAAUGCAGACUGUAAAAGGGUACAUAUAGGUUGCUUUAAUUGCUAAAAUGGAAAGACUGUAAAAUGGAACAAUGCAGAAAUUGGUGUUGUUAUUAUGGAGUUCAAAGGUUAAUAUUCAUGCUUGUAGAUUUGACGCGGAAUGUAGAUGAACUGAAGGCUGUUUUGGCAUUAUGCCAAUUUCCACAUUCAUACAUAUAAAGGAAGCAAGACCAAGUCAAUAUCAUCAACUCUAAUUAUUUCACUUCUUUCUUUAGGGAGUUCAAAUGGUGGCCCGGAAGGAGUGAAAAUGUCACCUAGAAAGAGGGUAUCACAUAUCAAAGCACGAAAGUCGUCAUAAAAAUUUUAAAAACAAGGAAGAUUGAGCCAUCAACAGUGUUAUUGUGAAACCGAUCAUAAGGUAUCGCAAUGCCCAAAACUCCCAAGGAUCCCCACGACUGUUGUGAAUUUCGCGAUACCAAACUUGGUAUCGCAAUAUCAUUGAUGAGAGGAGACAAAAUAUAACAGUAGGGUAAUCCUUUUCCAACAUGUCCCCUAACCAAAAUUAGAUGAUCAUGGACAAUUUGGUCACUAUUUUUGGAUCUGUAAUUUGCUAGAAAGGGCAAAAAAUUGGCUGAACAAAAGGCAACACUUAACAUUUCAUGUUUUUCAAUUUUUCUCUUUAUUUUUAGAGUUUUAGUUUUCUUCUCCAUAACUCUAGGGUUUAAUUCAUGUUUUCUUUGAGUUUUUCUUGGUUCCAAUAAUAGUAGUUAGUUAAGUUAAUUAUCACUGUAGCUAGGAUUUAUUGGCUCGUUUAGUACCUUUAACUCUUUGUAUUUUCAGCUUAAUCCUUGGUUUUAAUAUAAAUAAAUUCCCUUCAUCAUUAAAAAUCUAUUUUUAGGGUUUUUUUUUACAUUUCCUUUGCUACCAUUGUAAUUGUUUUCAAGCUUUUCUCAUUUUUCUCAUGUUUUCUAGUUAUGCCUAUUUUGUAUGAUUGUUGUAUUUUUGUUUGUUUAAAUAUGAUUAUGGGUAACUAAAUCUGAAGUGAAAUUUGGCAUUAUGAAAAUGUCCAACAUUGCUUGUGGAUUAAUUCAUUAAUUCAUGUCUAUGUUUUAUUUAUUCAAAUGAUUAAUAGCUAAUUUGAUCCUUAAAUUAUAGUUCAAAAAGUAUUUUUAUAUUUUCAAAUUUUCAUAAAUAUAAUUGUAGCAAAAUUUAAAAAUCUGAAAAUAAAUAAAAAUUUUAUAUAAAAAAAUCAAUUGGUGCAAGAAAAAAAAAUUUCCAACUACUUUUUCCACAUCCAAUCUCAUAAAUAAUCAGUCUUUGAACUUUCACAAAAAAAUAUUAAAUACCCAUUUACUUUAAUUCUGCUCGUUUUUCAUUUGCUUUAUUGAUGUAUGCUCUCUUCAUAUUAUCUUUCUUUGCCUUUUUUUUUCCUCCUUUUUCAUGUAGAUCUGCGUCGACUCUACUAUUCUUGGAUCAUUAUAAAUAUAAUAUAUUUUUUUAUUUAUAGCUGAAAGUAAAACAUUGAGUUGAAAUUUGGCAAAAAAAAUUGUGGGUUUGGAGAAGAAGAAGAGCACUUCAUAUUUAAAUUUAAAAAAUCUAAAAUUCCAAAAUCGAAAGUUAGUCAAAACCCUAAACAAUCUAAUAAUUGGGGUUGUAGAAAAGAAAUAUGGGUUUAGAAAUAAAUAAAACAAAAUAAAUUUGCAAAACAAUUUCUAGGCAAAACAGCAUUAAAUUAAGGACUAAAAUAUUUUUUUUUAUAAAGCUUAGAGUGAAAUGAGUUUUUGGGAAACUGAAAAAAAAGUGAAAUGGGAAUGUUUGUACUAAUACACAUGGCAUUAUUGGACAGUAGACAAUAACUAAAAUGUUGCGUUAAUUUGUUUAUUGGACAUUCUUCUGCAAUGCUUAGAAAAUUUUAAUAUAUGUUUUAUUUUUAAAAUUUUUAAAAUUUAUGCUUCUUUUUCUUCUUCAGGAUCUCACUCCUGCUCUUCAUUAAUCCAGUUCAAGAACUCUUUUUCCAUAAUAGAGGAUGCUUCUUCUUAUUGCAAUGAUUUUGCUGGCCUUAAAUCUUAUCCCAAGACAAAUUCAUGGAAGGAGGGUACAGAUUGCUGCUCAUGGGAUGGGGUCACUUGUGACCACCUAAAUGCUCAUGUUAUUGCUCUUGACUUGAGCUGCAGUUGGCUAUAUGGCAACUUCCCUUAGCAGCCAAAAAAACCCAAUUGAGAACUGGGUUCCAAAUCAGACAAGGCAAAAGCCAAAUCAUCUGGGAUUGGUGGAGAGUGAUGUGUCAGAAGAAGAAGAAGAGGAAGAAGGGGUUUGAGAUGUGACAACUAUUGCACUGCAUUGCAGUCUGCAAUUGAGAACUGGGGCCUCCUGCUUAUUUAUAUUAACUAUCCACUACUCGUUAUUGUCGUGUCGUGUGAACUUAUGAGGAAACAUAGUGCUUUCAUUCUGUGCUUCGUACUUUUUUACUACCAAGGAGGUGCAGUUAAAUUGUACUAUUAGCAGGAUUAGAGGUGGUUUAUAGGGAGUGUGUUCUUUUAGUGGGUAUGAACUCUCCCUUUCAUAUUAAUUGGGUUUUAUUAUUUUGGCCCAAAGGUGGGGAUUGUAGUGUAUGGAUAUUAUUAUUAUUAUUCACAGUGGCAACGCCCACCUCGUCUACCAAACGACAAAUAUAACCUUUGAAAUUGACCAAACUUUGUUCGGUCAUAACAUUGACCAUUGACGACAAGAAAAGUUUGUUUUCCAUUAUAUCUUAACCUUUGAAGCAUUGUAUGUGGCCACCCACGUAGUCAACUAUUUAUGUUAUGUCACGACAAAAACAGCAUCCUCCUUUGUCUUUGAAAUUCGACAUUAAUAAUGGAGUUCUUUUUGCACACAUGCAUUCUAUUUAUUAUUUUGAAUACAAUUCUAAUCUAGAUUUUUGGCUUUACAUUUUUUUUAUUUAAUCAUCAAGUUGUCCAUGUUCUUUAAUUUUUUUUAAAAAAACUAAGUUGCAUUUCCUUUUUUUUAAAAUUAACGAUAUAUUGAAAUCAUUAUUGAAAUUAUAAUCAAAAUUAAUACAUGUUCUUUUUAUUAGCUUAAGGGCAUAAAAACCCUUCAAAAUUUUCAAAAAUAAAAAUAAAAAUUUAAGUCCCUCUUUUUUUUUUACACUUAAUUGAGCAUUUAAACUUUUAAAAUGUAUCAAAAAUAUCUUUACACUUCUUAAAAAAAGCAAUUAAAUCCCUAUUUUUUUCUGCUCAAUUGGGUACUUGAACUUUCAUAAUGCAUAAAAAAGGAUCACAUCCUUUAGUUCCUUAUUUUACAUAUUUCAUUGCGGAUGAGGUUGUCUUAAAAGAUCUUUCAUACCUCAUUAUAUAUGUCUGUUGCAAAGAACUUUUGGUUGGUUAUCUCAAGCUUACAUUUUUGCCACAUGUUUGCUUUGAUGCGUGUUGCCCGGAGUCUUCUCCAGAAUGAACACUUACUCAUAGAACCUUAUGUGAGUUUAUUAUUUCAAUGAUUUAGAAGUACACGAACUAAUGCAAAUAUGCUAGUGGUUUAUUUUCCACCUAUCUGAUUUUUUAAAAUGUUCUUCAGUUACACCAGUUGAUGCCUUCUAUUAUUACCUGCCUCGUUGCAAAAAGGUUAGGAAAUAAAUUCACCGACAAUCAUUGGGAACUUAGAAACUUCGCAGCAAAGCUAGUGGCAUCAAUAUGCAAAAGGUGAAGAUUUCUUUUCUUUUGGACUUAUACAUGCAUUUUCGUUUUUAUGAAUUUCAGAUGUCUGAUUUUUUAGUUAUAAACUUGGAUCUAUUCUUCAAAUCAAGUGUAUAUCAUUUUCAUGCUAUUUCACACAUGCAAAACAAAUGGUGCGAGCAUGCAUGUUAUAUGCAGAAUACAUAGAUUAAUUACGUGUGGAUCAUUAAGCAUGCCUAUGUUUGACCAAUGUGUGUGGCUACUUUUUUUUUUUACAUGAUCCAAUUUUCGAUAUGCUUUGCUUUUAGGUUGAAUGCGGAAAAGAUUAGAACUUAAUUUCCAGCAUAAUGAUUUGUCUUGGAUAUGCAGAUUUUUACAUGCAUUUCUUACAAGUCAAUAUUUAUAGAUUUGGGCAUGUUUAUCACAAUCUUCAGCCACGUGUGACAAGGACACUGCUCCAUGCUUUUUUGGACCCAACGAAAACAUUUCCCCAGCAUUACGGAGCAAUUCAAGGGUUAGCAGCCCUUGGACCCAGCGUGGUAUAAUUCUAAUCUCAAAUAUUUACUAGCAACACAAUAAGAUACUUGUUUGUGGGAUCAAUUGGUCAAAGAUAUUGCAAUGAUAGCCAUCUUUUUGACAGAAGUUGAGCACUUUCCGUGGAAUAAUAUUGCAGUUCUGGACUUAAGCUCCAAUUUGAUCCGUGGAAAUCUUCCGAUUCCAGCUUCGACAAUCAAUGUCUUUCUGAUCUCAAAUAAUAGUUUCAAUGGAGAGGUCUCUUCUUUAAUAUGCAAUGCCAGUUCUCUUCAAAUUCUUGAUUUAUCCUACAAUAACUUGAGUGGAACAAUUCCGCAAUGUUUUGGAAAUUUGAGCGACAGCCUUGAAUUCUUGAAUCUGAAGAAGAACAUGUUUUAUGGGACGAUUCCUCCAACAUUUGCAGAGGGAUGCCAGUUGACUAAUUUCAACUUAAAUGGAAAUCUGUUAGAAGGGCCUUUGACACCAUCCAUCCUUAAUUGUAAUGAUCUGGAAGUGCUAGAUCUUGGUAACAACAAGAUCAAUGAUACAUUUCCUCAUUGGUUGGGAAGUCUUCCAAAGCUACAAGUUCUUGUAUUGAAGUCAAAUCAUAUGCAUGGUUCCUUGCGUGUCAAUAGCUCCAAGUCUAGCCCUUUUUUCUCUAAAAUCCAAAUUUUUAAUCUCUCAAGUAAUUAUUUUUCUGGACCCCUACCUGUGAGAUACAUCAACAGCUUCAAGGCUAUCAUAAAUCUAGAGAAGAUUCGUAGUACAGUGUCGUACAUGGGGGUGAAUAAUCGGAAUGGUAGUGGCUUCUAUACCUAUUCCAUUGGAAUUGUUAUGAAAGGACAAUAUAUGGAAUUGGUGAAAAUUUUCACCAUGUGGAUGAUCAUUGAUCUAUCAAACAAUCAGUUUGAAGGGGGUAUUCCAGAGGAUUUUGGGAAGCUUAACUUACUGAAAGGGCUCAACCUUUCUCAUAAUAACCUUAAUGGUGGUAUCCCUACCUCAAUAGGGAAUUUGACAAGUCUUGAAUGGUUGGACCUAUCUUCAAACAGGUUGUCUGGGACGAUUCCAAAGAGAUUGGCAGAUCUGCCAUUUCUUUCGUCCUUCAAUGUUUCUGAUAAUCAGCUCCAUGGUCAGAUACCUCAAGGCAAACAGUUCAACACAUUUGGAAAUGAUUCAUAUGAAGGAAACAAGGGAUUAUGUGGAUUUCCGGUCUCGAAAGGUUGCAACAUCAUUGAGCCAGCACCUCCAAAUGUGCUUGAGAAAGAUGGCUCAAAAUCAAACAUUACUUUUGGUUGGAAAGUGGUGUUGAUAGGUUAUGGAUGCGGAGUGGUGUUGGGAACGUCCGUGGGAUAUGUUGUUUUCCAAACUGGUAAGCCGAAAUGGUUGGUGAAUUUUGUUGAAAUCCAACAUGAGAAGAAGCGAAGACGAAAGUCAAAGGAUGGCAGCCGCAGCAAUGGACGAAGAAGGAUCUAGUUAGUGGAAAUGAUGUUCAAGUGUUGAUGUUGUAUCUUCAUAAUUUCUUGUUUUGAAGUCUUUCAAUUUUUUUCCUAAGGUGAAAGGAUGCAUUGCCAUGCAUCUGUCUUUAUUUUUGUAACAAUCCAUCUAUAUUUCACUGCAUUACGUAGUAUUUGUAAGGGUUUGUUUUAAAUGUAACAUUUUGUAUGGUUCAACUAUUUAUGUCUUCUUUCAUGACUUUCAUUUUUGAGUCUCAAUAAUCUCUGCAUUCAAAAUUUUGUCAUCUUUUUCUCGAGUUAAACACAGUCAAUACUAUAAAAAUUUCUUCUGUGUGGAAAAUAAUUUGGCAUUCUGCAAAUUUCCACAAUGCUUAUGGAUUUCCUUUGGUUGACAGCUACACAUAUAAAGGAAAGAAACAAGACCAUGUCAAAAUUUCCAAAAAUUAGUCAUUCAUUUUUUAAAAUUGUAAAUUCUCAAAUAGUGCAAAUUAGUCCUAAAACUCAAGUUUUGAAAUCUUUACAAUUUAACCCCUUAUAGUUUCAAACUUUACUAUUUUAUGCUCAACUUUCUAAAUCUUCAUAUUUCAUGAUCAUAUAAUUCACUACAUCAAUAUUUCAGAUUUCACUACUCAAACCCUUACUUCAUUUUGGUCCUUACUUCAAUUUUAUCAAAUUACAUCAUUUUUCAAUUUGAAUGCAUUGAUGUGAAAUUGAGGGACCACUAAACAAUGUUGAUGCGAGUUUAGGCAAAAUUGGUGGAUCCCAUCUCCUUAGUAAUUUCUUUGUGGAAGUACCUACUUUCACAAUGCAAACUUGGAUAGUUUGUGGUGGACGAUGAUGAAUCAUUUCACAAUCAAACACACCAUUUUUAAACACAAAAUUAACGAUAUAUUGAAAUCAUUAUUGAAAUUAUAAUCAAAAUUAAUACAUGUUCUUUUUAUUAGCUUAAGGGCGUAAAAACCCUUCAAAAUUUUCAAAAAAUAAAAUAAAAUUUAAGUCCCUCUUUUUUUACACUCAAUUAAGCACUUAAAAACUUUUAAAAUGUAUCAAAAAUAUCUUUACACUUCUUCAAAAAAAGCAAUUAAACUCCUAUUUUAUUUCGCUCAAUUGGGUACUUGAACUUUCAUAAUGCAUCAAAAAGGCCUUAAAUUUUUUUCAAAGAAACAAUUAAGCCUCUAUUUUUUUCCCACUUAAUUGGGUACUUGAACUUUCAUAAUACAUCAAAAAGGCCUUAAAUUUUUUUCAAAAAAGCAAUUAAGCCCCUACUCUUAUUAAAAAUUAGAAAAAAAUCAUAAAAAUAAAAAAAAUUAGAAAAAAAUUAUUAAAUUUUAAUAAAAUUUAAAAACUUAUUAAAAAUUAGAAUUUUUUUAAGAAAAAUCGUCAAAAAAUAAAAAAUUAUAAAAUUUUAUAAAAAUCAUAAAAAAAUAUAAAAUCCAUCAAAAAGUCCUUUUAACAAUUAACUUUAACUAUUGAUCGUUAAAGUUAACGACCUCUAGUUUUUUCAAUUAAAGUCAUUAUGUGUCGCAACUCAGCAUGACAUGUAGCGAAAACAGAUAAAAAAGUAAAAAUCAAUAAAAGUUAUAGAAAAAUUAUAAAAUAUUUCUUUUGGUACAAUAAUUUUUAUAAAAAUUUUUUUACAAAAUUUAUAAUUCUUUACAUUUUGUAUAAUUUUCUUAUAACUUUAUAAAAUUUUAUAAUUUUUUAUAUUUCUAUAUAUUUUAUAAUUUUAUAAAAUUUUUAUAAAAUUUUACAAUUUUACAAUUUUUAAUAUUUUAUUUUUUAUUAUAAUUUAAUAAUAUUAUUGAUUUUAUUGAUUUUAAUUUUUUUUCUAAUUUUUAAUAAAAGUAGGGGCUUAAUUUAUUUUUUAAAAGUUUGAGGGUGUUUUUGAUGCAUUUUGAAAGUUCAAGUACCCAAUUGAGUGCAAAAAAGAAAGUAGGGGCUUAAUUGCUUUUUUUGAAAAAUGUUUGAGGGCCUUUUUGGUUUAUUUUGAACGUUCAAGUACCCAAAUGAGUGCAUAAAAAAAACAGGGGUUUAGUUGCUAUUUUUGAAAAAGUUUGAGGGAUUUUUGCACCCUUAAACCUCUUUUCUUUUUCUAAAUUUAAUUUAGAACCAACUUUGUGUAAAGACUUGGGAAAUUUAAUUAGCAAAAAUUCUUUCCAUGUAAAAAUUUCCCCUAUUUCUUGUUUGAAUUUAAAGCAAUACAAUAUUUUUCUAGCAAGUAACAGAAAAUGACUGUCAAUUCAUUCUAAGCAAUACAAAAUCUCCAGUCUGGUGGAAAAUUUGUUUCUUAGAUACUAUUAUUCAACUUUUAAGGCAUAAGUUUGAAUAUAGCUAGGGACUAAAAUUUUAAAGUGUUGUUUACUACACACUUAGGGACCAUAUAUGUAUAUAUAUAUAUUCCAGUCUGGGUCUUUGUCGUGUUUUGUUGGUUGGCUAUGGCCUUGUUGUUGUUUCCACUGCCUGUGGUCUUUGUUUCUAAGUCAUAUGUGGCCUUAGUUGCUAAUUUAAAGGGAGUGAAUAGAGCACCAUUUUCUUCUUCUGCGUGGAAAAUAAGUUGGCAUUAUGCCAAUUUCCACAUUCAUACAUAUAAAGGAAGCAAGACCAAGUCAAUAUACUUUCUAAUCUCAUCACUUCUUCUUUCUUUAGGGAGUUCAAGUGAAAUACAAAUUUUUCCACAUCCAAUCUCAUAAAUAAUCCAUCUUUGAACUUUCACAAAAAAAUAAUAAAUACCCAUUCACUUUAAUUCUACUAUUCUUAAAACAUUAAAGUUUUGUGGAAAAUAUGCUUCUUGGAUAAAAUUAUUCAACACACAUGCCUUGAAUUUUAUGGAAUAAAAUAAAUGAAUAUAGGCCACACAUGCUUUGAAUUUUUAAGUAGUCCACAAUUUUGUUCGUUUGUGUGCAAAAUUCUACAUUGCUUGACAGCCAUACAUACUAAGUAAAUAGACACCCACAUUGUUUACGUAUUAUGAGGAAGAAGACUAAGUCAAUCUACUUUGUAAUCUCAUCAAUUUUAAUUUUCUUAGUUAUUUAGGGAGUGUUGACAUCAUUUUUGAUGAAAACGGGGUCGACUUGGGUUUUGGGAAAAUGAAAACAAAAACGGGAGUCGCCACCAAUCCCUUUUUUAUGAGGUGUGAUUGGAUUACCUCGAAAAAUGGUUGUUUUUAAUAAACGGUUUGAUUUUAUUAAAACAACGGUUUUGGUCCACGAAAUUUAGAAAACGGGUUCGGGAGUCGGUUACGCACGAGGAAGGAUUAGCACCCUCGAUACGCCCAAAAUUGGUACCUAGUUGAUUACUUAAUGUCUUAAUGUCGAAAAUUGAGAAUUUAAAAGAAUUUUUAAAAAAAUACGAUCCUUGUAUUAAAAUGUUAAGAAAAGGAGGAUAUUUCACGUUAUUCGAGAAAAAGAAUCAUAUUCAGUAAGUUAGAAUACAAUAUCUCAAAUUCUCGAUACGCGAAUGAAAAAGUUUAUUUAAGAAAUUUUAGUCAUCUCGAAUUUAAAAAUGAGAUCAUAACCAGUAAGUUAGGAUGCGACCCCUUUUUUAAAAAUUCGAGAUCAUUUAAAACUUGAUUUUGAAAAGAUUCGUGUAUUUAGAUUCAUCGAGAAAAUCGAAACCCAGUAAGUUAGGGCACGAUUUUCUCGAAUCCAAACACGAAAUGCCAUUUAAAAAAAUUGUUACAUCAAGUAAGAUAAAACACAAAAUCAUAGUGAAAGCAAAUUACAUUUUUAUGUAUGGUAACUAAUAAAAGGUCAACAAAAUAAAAAAUAAACAAACCAGAAUAAAGACAUUUAAGCAAAUAAUAACGAACAUGUAGAUAAAUAAAUAAAUCAACAUGAAAUGAUAAUUAUAAUAAUGAAUAAAAUGGUGAUAUAUAUACGUAUGUAUGUUAGAAACAAAUUAUACGAGGUAAAAACAUAAAGUUAAAUACAAAAAAAGAAGUAUAUAUGAUUAUAAAAUACAUGUAUAUACAUAAAUAAGGAAAUAGAAAUGCUCAUAAAAUAAAAAAUAAAAAUAUUCGUAUGCACGUGUAUUAUAUUGUAAUUGCGUAGGUAUAAAUAUUAUGUAGUAUAUGUAUAUAAAUAUAUAGAUAUUAAAUAAAUAAAAAGCAGGGUAGAUAUAAAAAAAUAUUGAAUAUAUAUAAUAUAAUAUUAUUAUUAGAUAUAUAUUAAAGUUUAUAAAUAUAUAGAUUCGCAAUAAUUUUAGACGUAUAUAUUAUAGUAUAUAAAAAUAAUAAUAUAAUAAUAAAUAAAUAAAUGAGCAAAAGAAAAAACAUGCUUAAAAGGGACUUAAAUCGAAAUAAAACAAAGUUUCUGGGCUAAUUUAAGAAUAAAAAAAAAGGCGGAGGGACCUAAUUGCAAGCAGGCGUAAAAAGGAGGGACCGAAAGGGUAAUUAAACCCCCAAUGUCAGAACGACGCCGUUCCAGGAAGGAGGGCGCAGAUGAUCGAAGGACCAAAUCGAAAAACAAACUAAAUUAAUAAGCCAAUUUGCAAAAAAUUAAAAAGGAUUAAAUUUAAAAUAAUUAAAACUGCGGAGGGGCUAAACGAGCAAUUAGCCCCUUCGCAAGAAAACACGCGGAUCCUUCGGGUCGGAGCGGGUCGGGUCGCGGGUCCAAAGCGAAACGACGUCGUUUUGGGCGUUAUGGAGCUAGGCCAAAACGACGUCGUUUCACACGCCUAUAUAUUCAAAAAAAAUUUUCAAAAAAUUUCAUUCUUCUCCCCUUUUCAAAAAAAAACCGAAAUGCUCUCUCUCCCUCCCCUUUUCUCUCUGAACGCCGGCCAAAGAUCCGGCCGAGAACCACCGUACCGGCCGCCGGUCGCCGGCGCCGGCGCCGCCGUAAGCGGCGGUCGGAAGUCGAAAAGUUAGCCUUUUAAAAUCACGUUUCGAAAACCCUUCCAAAAAUCGAGUCCUUAAAGCCCUAAGGCCGAGAGAGGGAAUCUCAAAAAAUGAAACGCCUUCCUCGUCCGUUCUCAACGACUCGGACUCCGGCGACGCUACAACCGCGACGAUUCAGGUAAGUUUUGUUUAUUAAUCCUUAAGCUUAUAUUAAACAUAAAAGAAAAGGAAAGCAAAACCGAAUGGAAUCGAAAAAAGCUAAAAAAUUUCACCUUUCAACUGAUUUUUUUCUUUAUUUCUUUGAUCUUUUUUUUUUUUUUAAAAAAGAGUCCUCAUUACAUGUAUUUGUUUCGGCUUUUAUAGCCAAUUCCUAGUCUAUGCUUCUGUCUUGCUUGCUUUGAUUUAUUUACAGGGAUGGAGGUGACGGUGGCAGUUGGCGGUGGUUGCUGGCAGAGCAGGUGGGCAGAAUGACCGAAGGUCAGAAGACCCUAGGAGCGGCGCCUAGGGCUCCUCUGUUUUCUGCUAGGUCUUGUUUUGGGUUUUGGGCUGAGGGUAGGCUUAUUGGGUUAUUGGGCUAAGGGUUGUAAUUUGGACUUUUAUUUUUGUGUUUAAUUGGGCCUCGGGCAAAAUGGCCUGUAACAGGGAGUUCAAAUGAAAUACAAAAUUGAAGGCAAUAUUCCACAGUGGAUGCAAGAGGUCGGGAAUGGCUCUUUGACUUACUUAAAUAUAUCUCACAACUCUUUGACAGAAGUUGAGCACUUUCCGUGGAAGAAUAUUGAAGUUCUUGACUUAAGCUCCAAUUUGAUCCGUGGAAAUCUUCCGAUUCCUGCUUCGACGAUCAAUGUCUUUCUGAUCUCAAAUAAUAGUUUCAAUGGAGAAGUCUCUUCUUUAAUAUGCAAUGUCACUUUUCUUCAAAUUCUUGAUUUGUCCCACAAUAACUUGAGUGGAACAAUUCCGAAAUGUUUUGGAAAUUUGAGCAACAGCCUUGAAUUCUUGAAUCUAAAGAAGAACAAGUUUUAUGGGACGAUUCGUCCAACAUUUGCUAAGUGAUGCCAAUUGAGUAAUUUCAACUUAAAUGGAAAUUUGUUAGAAGGGCCAUUGACACCAUCCAGCCUUAAUUGUAGAGGUCUGGAAGGGCUAGAUCUUGGAAACAACAAGAUCAAUGAUACAUUUCCUCAUUGGUUGGGAAGUCUUCCACAGCAACAAGUUCUUGUAUUGAAGUCAAAUCAUAUGCAUGGUUCCUUAUAUGUCAAUAGCUCCAUGCCUAGCCCUUUUUUCUCUAAAAUCCAAAUUUCUGACCUCUCAAGUAAUUAUUUUUCUGGACCCCUACCAGUGAGAUACAUCAACAGCUUCAAGGCUAUCAUAAAUGUUGGUGUUAGAACAGAAACAAACAAGCUUGACUUUAGUCUUGUGCAGCAAGUCUCGAUGCUUGCUGAGCAAACAAUCGAGUUUGAGAAUAAAAUGAGGAAGAAAAGUAAUGAAAAUUGAGAGAACUUGAUGAACAAAUUUGAUUUCAUUCAUAAGUAAACAGCGGCAUGAUACCAAUACAUAAACCAAGCUCUAAGCUUGUCAAAAUCAAUAAGCAUUCACCUAAUUGUUACCUAACACCACUAAGCAUUGAAACUUGAAGUCAUUAACUUGUGCAUACAAGCAAAGCUGAAUUAACAGCUCAUACAUCUGCAAAUUACAUCAAUCAUCUACCAAACAUAGUUCUAAAUGAACUAAAUUACAUUUCAUUAACUAGAAAUUACAAAAUGAACAAAACUAGAUCAAUUGAGCUUGCAGCAGUAGCUUCUGCCUUGCUCGAUCUUCAUGGUCUGCAUGUUGGUUGGUGUGGCAGCAUGCUGGCCAACUUCAUCAAUAAAUCUAGAGCAGAUUGGGAGUACAAUGUCGUACAUGGGGGUGUAUGAUCGGAAUAGUAGUGGCUUCUAUACCUGUUCCAUUGGAAUUGUUAUGAAAGGACAAGAUAUGGAAUUGGUGAAAAUUUUCACCAUGUGGAUGAUCAUUGAUCUAUCAAACAAUCAGUUUGAAGGGGGUAUUCCAAAGGUUAUUGGGAAGCUUAACUUACUGAAAGGGCUCAACCUUUCUCAUAAUAACCUUAAUGGUGGUAUCCCCACCUCAAUAGGGAAUUUGACAAGUCUUGAAUGGUUGGACCUAUCUUCAAACAGGUUGUCUGGGACGAUUCCGAAUAGAUUGGCAGAUCUGCCAUUUCUUUCGUCCUUCAAUGUUUCUGAAAAUCAACUCCAUGGUCAGAUUCCUCAAGGGAAACAAUUCAACACAUUUGGAAAUGAUUCAUAUGAAGGGAAGAAGGGACUAUGCGGGUUUCUGGUCUCGAAAGGUUGCAACAUCAUUGAGCCAGCACCUCUAAAUGUGCUUGAAAAAGAUGGCUCAAAAUCAAACAUUACUUUUGGUUGGAAAGUGGUGUUGAUAGGUUAUGGAUGUGGAGUAGUGUUUGGAAUGGUCGUGGGAUAUGUUGUUUUCCAAACUGGUAAGCCGAAAUGGUUGGUGAAUUUGGUUGAAAUCCAACAUGAGAAGAAGCGAAGAAGAAAGUCAAAGGAUGGCAGUCGCAGCAAUGGACGAAGAAGGAUCUAGUUAGUGGAAAUGAUGUUCAAGUGUUGAUGUUGUAUCUUUAUAAUUUCUUGUUUUGAAGUCUUUCAAUUUUUUUCCUAUGGUGAAAGGUUGCAUUGGCAUGCAUCUGUCUUGAUUAUUGUAACAAUUCAGCUAUAUUUCACUGCAUUACGUACUAUUUAUAAGGGUUUGUUUUAAAUGUAACAUUUUGUAUGGUUUAACUAUUUAUGUCUUUUUUCAUGACUUUCAUUUUGGAGUCUGAAUAAUCUCUGCAUUCAAGAUUUUGUCAGCUUAUUAAUUGGUGGAUCAAUAAUCUUCAUGCUCAUCUCAUCAUCUUUUUCUUGAGUUAAACACAGUCAAUACUAUAACAAUUUCUUCUGUGUGGAAAAUAAUUUAGCAUUCUGCAAAUUUCCAUAAUGCUUGUGGAUUACCUUUGGUUGACAACUAUACAUAUAAAGGAAGGAAACAAGACUAUGUCAAAAUUUCCAAACAUUAGUCAUUCAUUUUUGAACAGUUAAACUUUCGUAUUCUAUUUUUCAAAAUUGUAAAUCCUCGAAUAAUGUAAAUUAGUCCUAAAACUCAAGUUUUGAAAUCUUUACAAUUUAACCCCUUAUAGUUUUGUUGGUUGGCAAUGGCCUUGUUGUUGUUUCCACUGUCUGUGGUCUUUGUUUCUAAGUUAUAUGUGGCCUUGUUUGCUAGAUCUUAGUUGCUAACUUAAAGGGAGUGAAUAGAGCACCAUUUUCUUCUUCUGCGUGGAAAAUAAAUUGGCAUUAUGCCAAAUUCCACAUUCAUACAUAUAAAGGAAGCAAGGCCAAGUCAAUAUAUUUUGUAAUCUCAUCAAUUCUUCUUCAUUCUUUGGGGAGUUCAAGUGAAAUACAAAUUUUUCCACAUCCAAUCUCAUAAAUAAUCCUUCUUUGAACUUUCACAAAAAAAUAAUAAAUACCCAUUCACUUUAAUUCUAGUAUUCUUAAAUCAUUAAAGUUUUGUGGAAAAUAUGCUUCUUGGAUAAAAUUAUUCAACACACAUGCCUUGAAUUUUAUGCAAUAAAAUAAAUGAAUAUAGGCCACACAUGCUUUGAAUUUUUAAGUAGUCCACAAUUUUGUUCGUUUGUGUGCAAAAUUCUACAUUGCUUGACAGCCAUACAUACUAAGUAAAUAGACACCCACAUUGUUUACGUAUUAUGAGGAAGAAGACCAAGUCAAUCUACUUUGUAAUCUCAUCAAUCUUAAUUUUCUCAGUUAUUUAGGGAGUUCAAAUGAAAUACAAAAUUUUGGAAAAAAAAUGUAUCCAAUUUUGUGAAUGAAAAAUAUAUGGUAAAAAGGGUUUGUUAUGGAUACUUCGGCCCCUGGUAUCAAUACUCAGGGUAAGUUUAUCGAUAGGUUAUGGAUGCGGGGUAGUGUUUGGAAUGGCCAUGGGAUGUGUUGUUUUCCAAACCGGUAAGGCGAAAAGGUUGGUGAAUUUGGUUGAAGACCAACAUGAGAAGAGGCGAAGAAGAAAGCCAAAAUAUAGCACUCGCAUCAAUGGAUGAAGAAGGAUCUAGUUGGUGCGAAUGAAGUUAAAGCAUUUCUGCUGUGUCUUCAUAAUUUCUUGUUUAGUACUCUGUCAGAAAAUUUUUCCUAUGGUGAAAAGUUGCAUUGCUAUGUGUCUGUUUUUAUGAUUGUACCAAUUCCUCUGUAUUUCAUUGCAUUUCGUACUGUUUGUAAGGGUUUAGUUCGAGUGGAACAUCUUGUAUGGUGCAACUAUGUAUGUCUUCUUUCUUGAAUUUCAAUUUUAGUAAACAUUAUACUGCUCACCAUAAAAAAAAUACAUGUAGAAUUACAAAAGAUUCAAUUAUUCAAGCUGUUUGAGUUGCAUUUAUAAACACGUGACGAUGAGAAUUCAUGAACAUAAGGUAUGGUUUGAGCCCUUUUGCCAUAUGCAUUUAUGUUGCAGAUGUUCAAACAUGGAAUAAUUCAACCUGCCAUAAGCAAGUGUGAAGUCAAUAGACAAUUGAUAGUCUUAGUCUUUGUCUUUUUUUGUCUGAGUUAAAGUGUAGUCAAUAGACAAUUGAUAGUCUUAGCCCUUUUUGUGGAGUUAAAUUUAUAGUCAAUAGACAAUUGGGACCAAACUUGACCUGUUAUAAGGAAGAAGACUUUGUAAUCUCACCAAUGUUAAUUAUUUUACUUCUUUGGUAAAAAAAAGUAAUUAAUUUUAUGAAUGAAAAAUAUACGGUAAAGAGGAAGUAGUUGUUGAUCACUAAUAACAUGAUGAUUGUGGAAAUACAAAAAAUCCCAUAUAUGUGUUGAAUUCUGCAUAAUGUAAAUGUCCCGCAUUGCAUGUGAAUUCUGCAAUAGACCAAACUUUAUGUGUUAUAGUCCUUUAAACUGAGUUAAUGAAAAGUAACCAUUCUUAUCAAAAUUAGUUAUACUCUUAAUUUAUAACAAAGAAAGGAGUAAUUUGAGUUUAACUCAAAGGUUAAUAUGUCAUCAAUGGGCGAUGGCGUGGUGCUACCAUGUCAGCCAUUAUUUUCUUCUUUGAGUUAAGGUGAUUUCACCAAUUUAAGUUUACUUUUUUACUUCAAUUUAGGUUUAUGCUUAUUACCUUCGAAGAUUCUAAGUGGGUGCCACAACCAAAGGGUGAGUAAAAAGGGUUAAAAAUAAUUUUUUUAAAAAUAUUUUUAUUUUUAUUAAAAAUUUAGAAUUAGAAUUAGAUAAAUUUUGUAAAUGUUAAGGGCUAACUUUAUUAAUUUUUUUUUCAUAAUUCGAACUAAAAUGACAAAUUUUGUAAAAAGCGCUAAAUUAGUUGAAUUUUUUAUAUUUAGGAUUAAAUUGAUAGAAUGUGUAAAUAUUAGAGGUUAAAAUUGUUAUUAGAUCAAUAAAAAACCCAUAUCAGCUUUCCGUCACUCAUCUAUCUACAACUAAAGGGAGAGCGAUUAAAAAAUUAGAAUGUUUGGAUCAUUUUUCUAAUUAAAGUCAUAGUGUAGGAGGCAAUUAAAUGCAUGCGCCACUCACGGUGGACGGUUUUGACAGCUGAUGACGUUGACAGUGCUCUUAAUCUGAGAAACGUGGAGGUACAUUUUCAAGUUUCAAAAAUUUUCUGUUUAUUGUAUUUUUUUAUUAUUCUUUUUCCUUUUUAGUUGAAAAUAGUGCUAAUUAAUGUUAUUUGUUUGACUAAUGUGAUAAUUUCUACUUCAUGUGUAUUAAUCCAUAAAUUUUAACAAGAGUGGAAUUUUGAGAACUUAGUUUUGGAAGUUUGAAUCUUAAGUUUAACCUGCUGCUUUAGAUUUUGCAUUUUGGUUAACUGGCUUGUGUUAUGUGUUUCUCUGGCAUCAGCCGAUAUGUGGAUUUGCCCCUCGUGAUGCACUACGAUUCAAGAAAGCUGCUGGGCAUAAGGAUUUGUUCUACAUUGAUGACAAAGAUGUGGAGUUUAAAGAAGUAGGAACUUAUCAACAAUAUUCGAGAUUCUGUUAUAUGUUGCCUUAUGUAUGUAGGUUCUUGAGUCACCUUUGCCAAGAGCACCACGUGAAUUUAUAUAAGUAUACACAUUUUUAUGAAAUACAAGAUCUUGCUAAAAGAAAAAGCAUAUAAAAGUAUAAACGUUUUUAUGAAAUACAAGAUUUUGCUAAAAGAAAAAGCAUCCAAUUUUAAGAAUGAAAAAUAUAUGGUAAAAGCAUCCAUAACUUUUCAAUGUAAAAGACAAAAAAGACUGUAACACCAAUGUUGUGGUAUUAUUUGUUGCCUAUAAAUACCAUUCCUAUCCUUCUUCUUCCUCUACAAACAUAACAUGGCCCCCUAUCUCUUUCUCUGCCUAUUCCUCUUCUUUCCCCAUCUUUAUGCUUCUUUUUCUUCUUCAGGAUCUCACUCCUGCUCUUCACUAAUCCAAUUUAAGGACUCUUUUUCCAUCACAGAGGAUGCUUCCUGGUAUUGCGAUGAGAUUGCUGGCCUUAAAUCUCAUCCCAAGACAGAUUCAUGGAAGGAGGGUACAGAUUGCUGCUCAUGGGAUGGGGUCACUUGUGACCACCUAAAUGCUCAUGUUAUUGCCCUUGACUUGAGCUGCAGUUGGCUAUCUGGCAACUUCCCUUCCAAUACCACUCUCUUCCUUCUUCCUCACCUUCAAAAACUCAACCUUGCCUACAAUCAUUUCAAUCAUUCCAAAAUUCCAUCCGAGUUCGGUCGGGUUUACAAGCCUAUUCUACCUCAACCUUUCUAAUACAUGGUUUGCAGGAGAAGUCCCAUCCCAAGUCUCGCACCUGUCAAAAUUGGUUUCACUUGAUCUCUCCUCUGAGUUUGGUGAACAAACAAUUGACAAACAUGCUCUGGAGGGACUUGUUCACAACCUAACCGAGGUCAGACAUCUGUUUUUGGAUGGAAUGGACAUGUCUUCUGUUAAUGCUCAUGUCUUCAUGAAUCUAUCCUCUUCUCUAAGGUCUCUCAGUCUUGCUUAUUGUGAUUUGCAAGGAAAAUUCCCAAAAAACAUUUUUGAUUUGCCAAACCUCAAUCUCCUCAACUUGAGAGGCAACCAAAACCUCAAUCUUGAUCCUUUGAAGUUCAAUCGGAGCAGCAAUCUUGAACAUUUGGAUCUGUCGUGGAUGUCCUCCUCUACAGAAUCCAUUGAUUCAGUUGAUAAUCUACAGGCCUUAAAGUACUUAGCUCUAUCAGGAAAUUCUUUCUUUCAACGAUUGUCUGUCUCAAUCACAAAAUUAUCUUAUUUGGAGUACUUGACACUUGAAGGCGCAAAUUUUUUUGGAGGAUUGCCUGACUCGAUGGGGAAUCUCGUGUCCUUGAAGUGUUUAGACUUGAGAUCAAACAAAUUGAGUGGACAAAUUCCAUUGUCAAUUCUAAACCUAACGCAGUUGGAAUACUUGGAUAUAUCUGAAAAUUCAUUAGAAGGUUCCAUUCCAGAUGAGGUAACCGCUUUUCCUAAUCUAAAACAUUUAGACUUAUCUGACAAUUUACUCAAUGGAACACUUCCGUCAUGGUUGUGUACUGUUCCCUCCUUAAAGAUAAUAUUUCUCUUUCAAAAUCAAUUCAGUGGGCAUAUCAAAGAAUUCCAAUCCAAAUCACUAGAAUUGAUAGUGUUACAGAAUAAUAAACUCCAAGGUCCUCUUCCAUCUUCAAUAUUCCAACUUCUCAAUCUUACAUCGCUUGCUUUAUCCUCAAAUAAUCUUAGUGGUGUCAUAGAGUUUAGCAUGUUCUCAAACCUUCCAAAUCUCGAAUAUCUUGACCUUUCAUAUAACAGCCUAUCCUUAACAUCUAAUACUACUUCUACUGUUAAUCAUAUAUUGCCUAAUCUUACAGACGUACUUUUGUCAUCUUGCAAUCUUAGUGAAUUCCCCCAAUUUUUGAAAGGGCUUAAAAGUUUGGAAAGGUUAGACCUCUCUUGCAACAAAAUUGAAGGCAAGAUUCCACAGUGGAUGCAAGAGGUGGGGAAUGUCUCUUUGACUUACUUCAACGUAUCUCACAACUCUUUGACAGAAGUUGAGCACUUUCCAUGGAAGAAUAUUGCAUUUCUUGACUUAAGCUCCAAUUUGGUCAGUGGAAAUCUUCCGAUUCCAGCUUCGACGAUCAGAGUCUUUCUGAUCUCAAAUAAUAGUUUCAAUGGAGAGGUCUCUUCUUUAAUAUGCAAUGCCAGUUCUCUUCAAAUUCUUGAUUUGUCCCACAAUAACUUGAGUGGAACAAUUCCGCAAUGUUUCGGAAAUUUGAGCGACAGCCUUGAAUUCUUGAAUCUGAAGAAGAACAAGUUUUAUGGGACGAUUCCUCCAACAUUUGCAGAGGGAUGCCAGUUGACUAAUUUCAACUUAAAUGGAAAUCUGUUAGAAGGGCCUUUGACACCAUCCAUCCUUAAUUGUAGAGGUCUGGAAGUGCUAGAUCUUGGUAACAACAAGAUCAAUGAUACAUUUCCUCAUUGGUUGGGAAAUCUUCCAUAUUUGCAAGUUCUUGUAUUGAAGUCAAAUCAUAUGCAUGGUUCUUUGCGUGUCAAUAGCUCCAAGUCUAGCCCCUUUUUCUCUAAAAUCCAAAUUUUUGACCUCUCAAGUAAUUAUUUUUCUGGACCCCUACCUGUGAGGUACAUCAACAGCUUCAAGGCUAUCAGAAAUCUAGAGAAGAUUCGUAGUACAGUGUCGUACAUGGGGGUGAAUGGUCGGAAUGGUAGUGGCUUCUAUACCUAUUCCAUUGGAAUUGUUAUGAAAGGACAAGAUAUGGAAUUGGUGAAAAUUUUCACCAUGUGGAUGAUCAUUGAUCUAUCAAACAAUCAGUUUGAAGGGGGUAUUCCAGAGGUUUUUGGAAAGCUUAACUUACUGAAAGGGCUCAACCUUUCUCAUAAUAACCUUAGUGGUGGUAUCCCCACCUCAAUAGGGAAUUUGACAAGUCUUGAAUGGUUGGACCUAUCUUCAAACAGGUUGUCUGGGACGAUUCCAAAUAGAUUGGCAGAUCUGGCAUUUCUUUCGUCCUUCAAUGUUUCUGAAAAUCAACUCCAUGGUCAGAUUCCUCAAGGAAAACAAUUCAACACAUUUGGAAAUGAUUCAUAUCAAGGGAAUAAGGGACUAUGUGGGUUUCCAGUCUCGAAAGGUUGCAACAUCAUUGAGCCAGCACCUCCAAAUGUGCUUGAAAAAGAUGGCUCAAAAUCAAACAUUACUUUUGGUUGGAAAGUGGUGUUGAUAGGUUAUGGAUGCGGAGUGGUGUUCGGAAUGUCCGUGGGAUAUGUUGUUUUCCAAACUGGUAAGCCGAAAUGGUUGGUGAAUUUGGUUGAAAUCCAACAUGAGAAGAUGCGAAGAAGAAAGUCAAAGGAUGGCAGUCGCAGCAAUGGACGAAGAAGGAUCUAGUUAGUGGAAAUGGUGUUCAAGUGUUGAUGUUGUAUCUUCAUAAUUUCUUGUUUUGAAGUCUUUCAAUUUUUUUCCUAUGGUGAAAGGUUGCAUUGCCAUGCAUCUGUCUUUAUUAUUGUAACAAUUCAUCUAUAUUUCAUUGCAUUACGUCCUAUAACAUUUUGUAUGGUUCAACCAUUUAUAUCUUCUUUCAUGACUUCCAUUUUUGAGUCUCAAUAAUCUCUGCAUUCAAGAUUUUGUCAGCUUAUUAAUUGGUGGAUCAAUAAUCUUCAUGCUCAUCUCAUCAUCUUUUUCUCGAGUUUCUUCUGUGUGGAAAAUAAUUUGACAUUCUGCAAAUUUCCACAAUGCUUGUGGAUUACCUUUGGUUAACAGCUAUACAUAUAAAGGAAGAAAACAAGACCAUGUCCAAAUUUCCAAAAAUUAGCCAUUGAUUUUUGAACAGUUAAACUUUCGUAUUCUAUUUUUUAAAAUUGUAAAUUCUCAAAUAAUGUAAAUUAGUCCUAAAACUCAAGUUUUGAAAUCUUUACAAUUUAACCCCUUAUAGUUUCAAACUUUACUGUUUUAUACUCAACUUUCUAAAUUUUCAUAUUUCAUGAUCAUAUAAUUUAGUUACUACAUCAAUAUUUGAGAUUUCACUACUCAAACCCUUACUUCAUUUCGGUCGUUACUUCAAUUUUAUCAAAUUACAUCAUUUUUCAAUUUGAAUGCAUUGAUGUGAAAUUGAGGGACCACUAAACAAUGUUGAUGAGAGUUUAGGCAAAAUUGGUGGAUCCGAUCUCCUUAGUAAUUUCUUUGUGGAAGUACCUACUUUCACAAUGCAAACUUGGAUAGUUUGUGGUGGACGAUGAUGAAUCAUUUCACAGUCAAACACAUAAUUUUUAAACACAAAAUUAACGAUAUAUUGAAAUCAUUAUUGAAAUUAUAAUCAAAAUUAAUACAUGUUCUUUUUAUUAGCUUAAGGGCGUAAAAACCCUUCAAAAUUUUCAAAAAAAAAAAAAAUUUAAGUCCUUUUUUUCUACUCAAUUGAGCACUUAAACUUUUAAAAUGUAUCAAAAAUAUCUUUACACUUCUUCAAAAAAAGCAAUUAAACCCCUUUUUUUUUCCGCUCAAUUGGGUACUUGAACUUUCAUAAUGCAUAAAAAAAACCUUAAAUUUUUUUUUCAAAGAAACAAUUAAGCCUCUAUUUUUUUCCCACUCAAUUGGGUACUUGAACUUUCAUAAUGCAUCAAAAAGGCCUUUAUUUUUUUUCAAAAAAGCAAUUAAGCCCCUACUCUUAUUAAAAAUUAGAAAAAAUCAUAAAAAUAAUAAAGUUCAAGUACCCAAUUGAGUGCCAAAAAAUAAAGUAGGGGCCUAAUUGCUUUUUUUUGAAAAUGUUUGAGGGUCUUUUUGAUGUAUUUUGAAAGUUCAAGUACCCAAAUGAGUGCAUAAAAAGAACAGGGGUUUAGUUGCUAUUUUUGAAAAAGUUUGCACCCUUAAACCUCUUUUCUUUUUCUUUUUCAUAUGUGGCCUUGUUUGCUACAACUUAGUUGCUAAGUUAAAGGGAGUGAAUAGAGCACCAUUUUCUUCUUCUGCGUGGAAAAUUAAGUUGGCAUUAUGCCAAUUUCCACAUUCAUACAUACAAAGGAAGCAAGAGCAAGUCAAUAUACUUUGUAAUCUCAUCAAUUCUAAUUUUUAAAGUGUUGUUUACUACACACUUAGGGACCAUAUAUGUAUAUAUAUACAUUGCAGUCUGGGUCUUUGUCGUGUUUUGUUGGUUGGCUAUGGCCUUCUUGUUGUUUCCACUGUCUGCGGUGUUUGUUUCUAAGUCAUAUGUGGCCCUGUUUGCUACAACUUAGUUGCUAAGUUAAAGGGAGUGAAUAGAGCACCAUUUUCUUCUUCUGCGUGGAAAAUAAGUUGGCAUUAUGCCAAAUUCCACAUUCAUACAUAUAAAGGAAGCAAGACCAAGUCAAUAUACUUUCUAAUCUCAUCACUUCUUCUUUCUUUAGGGAGUUCAAGUGAAAUACAAAUUUUUUCACAUCCAAUCUCAUAAAUAAUCCGUCUUUGAACUUUCACCAAAAAAUAUUAAAUACCCAUUCACUUCAAUUCUACUAUUCUUAAAUCAUUAAAGUUUUGUGGAAAAUAUGCUUCUUGGAUAAAAUUAUUCAACACACAUGCCUUGAAUUUUAUGCAAAUAAAAUAAAUGAAUAUAGGCCACACAUGCUUUGAAUUUUUAAGUAGUCCAUAAUUUUGUUCGUUUGUGUGCAAAAUUCUACAUUGCUUGACAGCCAUACAUACUAAGUAAAUAGACACCCACAUUGUUUACAUAUUAUGAGGAAGAAGACCAAGUCAAUCUACUUUGUAAUCUCAUCAAUCUUAAUUUUUUCAGUUGUUUAGGGAGUUCAAAUGAAAUACAAAAUUUUGAAAAAAAAAUGUAUCCAAUUUUGUGAAUGAAAAAUUUAUGGUAAAAAGGAUUUGGUAUGGAUACUUCAGCCCGGGUAGCAAUACUCAGGGUAAGUUUAUCAAUACAUUGCUUUUGGUUGGAAAGUGGUGUUGAUAGGUUAUGGAUGCGGGGUAGUGUUUGGAAUGGCCAAAAUAUAGCAAUCGCAUCAGUGGAUGAAGAAGGAUCUAGUUGGUGCAAAUGAAGUUAAAGCAUUUCUGCCGUCUCUUCAUAAUUUCUUGUUUGGUAGUCUGUCAGAAAGUUUUUCCUAUGGUGAAAAGUUUGAGUUGCAUUUAUAAAAUUUCCACUGUCAAAAGAUUCGAUUGCACUGCAGGGUAACAUAUUUAAGAUUGGAUUACACUGUCAAAAGAUUGCAGCAACGAUGAGAUUAAUCCAAUUACAGGAAUUGGUAUCCUAAAUGGCUUUUUGGUACGUAGCUUCAUUGACGGUACAAACUAGUUAAAAUUUCCAGCAUUCAUGUGUUUGUUUUCCCUCAAGUAAACGUAGUCAAUACUGCAAAUGGUGUGGAAGUACUGUACAUUGUGGCCCAAAUGUCCAAAAUUUCCACAUUGCAUGUAAAUUAAGUUUGCGUGAGAGAGAUAGGAGGAAGCAACAGCAAGUGUGAAGUCAAUAGACAACUGAUAGUCUUAGUCUUUUUUUGUCGAGUUAAAGUGUAGUCAAUAGACAAUUGAUAGUCUUAGCCCUUUUUGUGGAGUUAAAAGUAUAGUCAAUAAACAAUUGAUAGUUAAAUUUGUAGCAUUCUUCUUCCUCUUUAUUCUUUUGUGUGGAAAAUUAUUUGGGACCAAACUUGACGUGUUAUAAGGAAGAAGACUUUGUAAUCUCAUGAAUGUUAAUUAUUUUACUUCUUUGGUAAAAAAAGUAACCAAUUUUAUGAAUGAAAAAUAUUAUGUGGUAAAAAGGAAGUAGUUGUUCAUCACUAACAAUAUGAUGAUUGUGGAAAUACAAAAAAUCCCAUAUAUGUGUUGAAUUCUGCAUAAUAUAAAUGUCCUGCAUUGCAUGUGAAUUCUGCAAUAGACCAAACUUUACGUGUUAUAGUCCUUUAAACUGAGUUAAUGAAAAGUAACCAUUCUUAUCAAAUUUAGUUAUACUCUUAAUUUAUAACAAAGGAAAGAGUAAUUUGAGUUUAACUCAAAGGUUAAUAUGUCAUCAAUGGGUGAUGGCGUGGCGCUACCAUGUCAGCGAUUAUUUUCUUCUUUGAAUUAAGGUGAUUUCACCAAUUUUAGUUUACUUUUUUACUUCAAUUUAGGUUUAUGCUUAUUAGCUUCAAAGAUUCUAAGUGGGUGCCACAAUCAAAGGGUGAGUAAAAAGGGUUAAAAAUGAUUUUUUUAAAAUUUUUUUAUUUUUAUUAAAAAUUUAGAAUUAGAAUUAGACAAAUUUUGUAAAAGUUAAGGGCUAACUUUAUUGAUUUUUUUUUCAGAAUUCGAACUAAAAUUACAUUUUGUAAAAAGAGCUAAAUUUGUUGAGUUUUUUAUAUUUAGGAUCAAAUUGAUAGAAUGUGUAAAUAUUAGAGGUUAAAUUUGUUAUUAGAUCAAUAAAAAAAACCCACAUUAGCUUUGCGUCACUCAUCUAACGACAACUAAAGGGAGAGUUAUUAAAAUAUUUAAUUUCAAAAAGUUUAGCAACUAAAUUGGAAAAUUUAAUAGUUGGGUGACUAUUUUUGCAGUUUACUACUUUUUUGGUCACCUGACUAUUAAGUGACACUUUUUAGUUGGUAUAAUAAUAAUUUUAGUCCUCAAUUUUUAUACUUUCUGUCAAUUUGACUCUGAUUAUAUAAAAUGAUUACAAAAGUGAAAUUCUUUUUAAAAUUUACAAAAUUCUAAAAAUUAAAAAUUAAAUGAAAGUAGAUAAAAAUUUCAAAUAUAAACAAAGUGAGAGAAAAUGAGGGAAAUAUUAUUUUUAAACCCUCCAACUUUUCUUUGUAUUAUCGUAAAGAAAUAUCUAAUAUCCAUUCUUUUAGAAAACAUAGAAAAAAGUAAAAAAAAAAAGAUUCAGUAAAAUUAUCUGUAUAUAAUCUGCUUUUAUAAUUUGGGUUUUUAAAAAUAAAUUUAAAUGAAUUGAAAAUUCGAAUUGAGUUUGAAAAAUAAAAUUUUGUGGUAUAUUUUAUAUUUUUGCUAGAAAAAUGGCAUCAAAGUUGAUUUUGUAAGCUUUUGUAAUAUCAGUUACGGAUGUUCUUCAAGGGCAUGGAACUCAACUUGAAAAUUUUACUAAUUUGGUUGCAAAAAACAUUGAGGAAGCAUAUAAUGAUCUAACCUUUUUUGUUUUGUUUUGUUUUUAAUUUGUUAUGGGAUUCUAUUGAAUGAUAAUUUUUUUUUUAUUUCCCAUACAUAUUAGUUCUUCAAAAACAACAUAUUCGAGAUUUUAUUUUUCUAGAAUUUUUAUAUAGAAGUUUAUAUUUUUUAAAAUAAAUUUGAGUUUUUUUUAGAAUUUUUAUAUAGAAUCGAGGUAAAUUGGAAAAAAAAAUUAUAAAAACAAAAUACUAAAAUUGUUAUUAUAGCAACUAAAAAGUGUCAUUUAACAAUAGGGUGACCAAAUUGUAACUUUUUUAGUUAAGUGACCAAAACGAAGAUUUACCCAUAGUUUAGUGGCUAAUUAUGUAGUUUACCCUUUCAUAAUUAAAAAAUAGUUGUUAAGUUUUUCUUGUAUUAGAUAACAAUUUAGAUGGUAAAAACCCUCUUUAGUCCCUCUCAAUUUUGAUAUUAAGUAAAAUUGUCCAUUUAAAAAAAAAAUCAAAGCAAUUUAAUAUUUGUUAAUUUCGAAAGUGAGCAACUAAGGACAAUUAAUCACAAUGUCAAUAUUUUCCAUCAAUUGUACAUAUUUUUAUUGGUGUAAUAACAAAUUUAGCUCUCAAAGUUUACACAUUCUGUCAAUUUAGUCUUGAUUUAACAAAUUUAACCCGCAACAAUUACAUAUUCUAUUAACAUUGACACAUAAUAUAUAAACAUUGAGAGCUUAAUUUGUUAUUGUAUCAAUAAAAAUUAUGUACAAUUUACAGAAAGCAUUAACACAAUGAUUAAUUGUCCUUAGUUGCUCCCUUUCAAAAUUGAUCAUGAUUAAAUUGCUCUAAUUUUCUGAGAGGAACCAAUUUGUUCAAUAUAGAAAUUGAGAGGGACGAGAAAUGUGUUUUUUUAUCCAUUUUAGAUACCAACAAGUGUUUGGCAUAGUCGCAAGACAUAUUACAUUCUCAAGGAGAGAAUGCGUAGUCAAACGUUGGAGAUAUCAAUGUUGUGUGGGGUAUCCAAGGAUCUCGAACACGAACUGUAAAACAUAUAUAAAGAAUAAAAAAAUAACAUCUUAAUUUAAAUAAUUAUAAAUUUUAAUUUGAAAAAAGUAUUUUGAGAAACAUAAGUUUUAGAAGUAGUAAAAUUGAAUCGAUAAAACAUGUCCAUUAUAUCAGAAUCAUAAAAAUACAACUUAAUUAAUUUGAAUUUAAACUUAACUCAACUCGACUUGAUUAUAAAAACUGAUAAUUUGAAUUCAAAAUGACAUGAUCUUGAAAUGAUUUGAAUUAAUUGUCAGACCCGAACGACAAAACUCGAAAUGAUGCAAUCCAAAAACACAAAUCAAGUGAACUAAACUACGAAAAAAAAAACCUUACACUGACUCAAAUCCAAAAUAGUUUAAUCCUAAAAUAACCUAAAUUUUAUAUAAUAAAAACUCGAAAUAACCCGAAAAUUUUUAAAUUAAAAUUGAUCCGACCCAAAUUCACACCACCUAAAAUCAAUCGUAACCACCUAAUUAAAAAGCAUGAAAUGAAAUGAUGUAAAGAGAAAAUCAGAGAAAACCAAAUAGAAAGUAACAAGCCUUUUUCAGAAUUGAAAGCAAAUUCCGUACAUUCACGACAUGCAUAAAACAACAAUGGUUUAUAGAAUUUAAAAAUUUUAGUUUAAUCAUUUAUGUUGGUUGUAGUUUCCGUUAGCUUAAUCAACAUGUUAAAUUACUAAAUUUUGACAAAAAAUACUUACGAGUUUAAUGAUUGUACCGAGAUUUUUAAAUAAAAAAGUCGGAAGACUAAUUUCUAACCUUUUAAAUAUAGGGACUAAAAGCAUCUUUUAACUUUGAUAUUAUUAUUAUAAGCAGGGAUAAUGUCACCUUUGGCAUCUGUACUUUCAUAAAAUGUCUAGUGGUACAAGUACUUUGAAAAUAUAUAAUGUGGUACCUGAACUAUCAAUAGGUGUUAUUAUUAUGGUACAUGUACUUUGAAAAUGUUUAAUGUGGUACCUAAACUAUCAAUAUAUAUUUUAUUAUGAUACUUGAUAAAGACGGACUAUGGUGGCUUAGGGGGCUCUUUGUCCCGCCACCCUUGCAAAAAAAAAAAUCGAAGAAUUUUGUUUUUUCCUUUAAAAUUUUUAGAAAAUUUCAAUUAGGCCCUCAAAAUUUUUGAAAAUUUUCAUUAUACCUUUUAAUUUUUUUGAAAAUUUUAAUUAAGCACUCUUAAAUUUUGAAAAUUCUCAUUAAUCUCACAAAAAUUUUAAAAUUUUUUAUUAGACCCCCAAUUUUUUUUAAAAAAAAUCUUAUUAAACCAUUAAAUUUUUAGCAAAUUUUACCUGCCCCCUCCCCCCCAAAAAAACCUAGUCCCAACUACUAGUAUCCGCCAUUGUUACUUGGUAUUAACACUGUUAGAAAAUUGCUAAAUCAACCAAUAAAAAUUUGACACAUAGAACCCUUUUUUUAAUUAUCAAGUCCACGUGGAUAAUAUAAUAGUGAAAAACUAAAUAAAAAAUAAUUAAAUCUGCUUAUUUACGAAAAUGAUGGAUUUAGUCCUUAUACCUUAAUUUGAUCAAUUUUAGUCAUUGUAUUUUUUGAAUUGGUCAAUUUUAAACUAUUUACUUUUUGAAGUUUGAAAUUUUAGUCUUGAUCCAAAUAAUAAUAAUAAUUAAAUCUGCUUAUUUAAAUUCAAUUAUUAGUUUUGUAUUAUGUAGAUAGUUAUAAAUUUAGGGUGGGUUUGGAUGGGCUGUGCUUUUACCUGCAGUUAGUGUAAAAAUAGCGGCGGUGGUGAGAUUAGAUAUCCAAGGUACCUAAUUUUUAUUUUGGCCAUAAGUACUACUAAAACUAUUCUUCCGUUACCCAUUUUAUACCAAAAUGUUAUAUCGGCUAAAAAGAUUCCAACAAAUAAUAGAUUGUAUGUCAUAUAAACUUUUUUAAAAAAUCAUUAAUUAAUUAAUUUUUAUAUUUUUCUUUCUUAUUCCUUUAUAAUGUUUGACAAUGUCGAUAAUGCUUGAAAUUGGCCCACUUGAGGUCGAAACGCUGGUGAUUAAUUUUGGUUUUGAAUUUCACCACCUACUUCUCUGACCAGAGGGGAUAGAAAAAGUUCUUUCAUCGAUCAAAACUAGUAUUUUCAAAAACAGACUGAUUCUACGGGUUGGAUAGGAAAUCGGUUUGGAAAUAGGGGUUGAAUCGAUUGACUUGCGAACAAAAACAAAUCGGUUGAACUAAGCUAAAAAAACUGGUUGAAUAAGUUCUCUCUUUUUAUAUAUAUAUAAAUAAUAAUAGACUUUGUUUUUACUACAUGUCAAUUUUUAAUUGGUUAAUUUUUUUUUCAUAUAAAUUGAACAAUUUGACUAAUGACGGAGGUACCAAAUUAUAGUCUAGGUACCAAUUUAUGGGUUAAGCCUAUUUAUAAAAUAGACUUUUGACAGUUUGACUAAUGGCGGUAGUAACUUGGGAAAAAAAAAGUAGUUUAUGUACCACUUGUGACAAAAAAUAAGAUUAGGUACCAACAUGGGAAAAUGAGUAUAAUUUAGAUACCGAUUUAUGAGUUAAGCCUAAUAUAUUUGUCGCAUAAUUUUUUGAAAAUAACAGAACUUAAUAAAUUUAACGGUUAUUGUUUGGUGAUUACUAAAAUUUUAAAAUUUGAAAAGUACAUGAACUAAAAAUGACCAAAUUAAAAUAUAAAUAUUAAGUCCACAACUUUUGCAAAGUACAAGGACUAAUUGCAGAAAUUAACCUAAAUUUCAUAUGGGUCAAUUACAAAAAUAAUCACUAAACUAUCCCUUUGGUUCUAUUCUAGCCACUCAACUAUAUAGGUGCUCAUGAGCUUGGCCAGGUCAGGCCUAAGUAAGGGUGAGCAUUCGAUUGAAUCGAAAAUUUUCGAGUUAAUCGAGUUUUCGAAUCUCAUUUUAUCAUCCUAACUUUAUUUGAAGUUUUCUCGAAUCGAGUCGAGUGAGAUGGAAUUCGAAUCGAAUCGAAUCGAAUCGAAUAUAUUUGUUCGAGUUAAAUUUUAAAAAAUAAUUUUGGGUCCUUGUAACCAUUGUCACCCAUCGUAAUAAAAUUUGUCCACCUUAAUCAAAUUUUUUAUUAACUUUCAUCACUUCAUAAUUUAUUUAUUAAUUUUUUAUAUACUGGUUAGCUUCUUUGCUUGCUUAGUUGUCUUCAGAUUCUUGUCACUAUGUAUUUUAGAAUUAAAAAAUAUAUUAAAUGUAAAAAUAUGAUUUUUUAAUAAAAGUUAUUUUAAAAAUAAAAUGUGAAAUUGAUACCAAUAUAAAAUUUCAACACGAAUAUUUUAAGGCAUAAUUAAUAAUUCAAUUUUAAUAUAAAUAUUCAAUAUGACUAAACAAUUCAAUAAUAUAAAUAAUAUAAAAUGUGAAAUUUAAUUUAAUAAUAUAAAUAGUAGAUAUAAAUAAAAUUAUUGCUAUUUAUGUUUAGUGAUUUUUUUGGAUAAUUUUGAUUUUUUAUUUGAGAAUAAAAGGUGAGAAGUAAAAGUUUAGGGGAAAAAUAAAAAGUUUUGGGGAAUAAAAGUUUGAGAGAAAGUAAAUAGGGGGAGUAAAAUUUUGGAGGGAAAAUAUUUAAAAAAAAUUGGAGGGGGGAGGGUUUGGGAUAGAUGGGAGGGGAAUAAAAGUUUUAGGGGAAAAGUGGGAGGGAGUAAAAAUUUUGGGAGAAAAUAAAAGGUUUUGAGGGUUUUGGGGAGUAAAAUAUUGAGAAAAAAUAAAUAGGAGAGUAAAAUUUUGGUGGGAAAUGGAUUUUGGGUAGAUUGGGGGGUUGGGAGGGGAGGGGAGUAAAAGUUUUGGGGGGAAAGUGGGAAGGAGUAAAAGUUUUGAGGGAAAAGUAAAAAGUUUGGGAGUUUGGGGUAAAAAUGUAAAAUAUUAUAGUUUGAUAUUCGAAUUAUUCGAAUUAUUCGAGUUAUUCGAAUUCGAAAACUCAACUCGAUUCGAACUCGAAAUUCGAAAAAAAAUUCGAGUUGAUUCGAAUAACUCGAUUCGUUUAACUCGAAAUUUGAAUUUUUUUCAAUUUUUUCGAGUCGAAUCGAGUUUUGCUCACCCCUAGUUGCAAGUGCAACUUGCGUGGUGGCUGCCAGAAGGACUGAAUCGUAAAUGUAGCAAAAGUUUUGGGGCAAAAAUGUAAUUUUGAGAAAGUUUAGGGUCAAAAUAUAAUUUUAAAAAAUAUUAAGGGUUAAAAUAUAAUUUUAUAAAAAUUUAAGGGUCAAAAUGAAAUUUUAGAAAAGUUCAGAGGUCAAAAUACAAUUUUUAAAUUUUUUUUUAAAAAAAAAACACGAAAUUAUUCCCACAAAAUUAAGUGAUUACACGUAACUUUUCAAUGUAAAAGAAAAAAAAGACUGUAACACCAAUGUUGUGGUGUUAUUUGUUGCCUAUAAAUACCAUUCCUAUUCUUCAUCUUCCUCUGCAAACAUAACAUGGCCCCCUAUCUCUUUCUCUGCCUAUUCCUCUUCUUUCCCCGUCUUUAUGCUUCUUUUUCUUCUUCAGGAUAUCAGUCCUGCUCUUCAUUAAUCCAGUUUAAGGACUCUUUUUCCAUAACAGAGGAUGCUUCUUCUGAUUGCAAUGAGAUUGCUGGCCUUAAAUCUUAUCCCAAGACAAAUUCAUGGAAGGAGGGUACAGAUUGCUGCUCAUGGGAUGGGGUCACUUGUGACCACCUAAAUGCUCAUGUUAUUGCCCUUGACUUGAGCUGCAGUUGGCUAUAUGGCAACUUCCCUUCCAAUACCACUCUCUUCCUUCUUCCUCACCUUCAAAAACUCAACCUUGCCUACAAUGAUUUUAAUCUUUCCAAAAUUCCAUCCGAGUUCGGUCGGUUUACAAGCCUAUUCUACCUCAACCUUUCCCAUACAGAGUUUGAAGGAGAAGUCCCAUCCCAAGUCUCCCACCUGUCAAAAUUGGUUUCACUUGAUCUCUCCUCUCGGAUUGAUUACUCUGGGCAAGUUACAAUUGACAAACAUGCUCUGGAGGGACUUGUUCACAACCUAACCGAGGUCAGACAUCUGUUUUUGGAUGGAAUGGACAUGUCUUCUGUUAAUGCUCAUGUCUUCAUGAAUCUAUCCUCUUCUCUAAGGUCUCUCAGUCUUGCUUAUUGUGAUUUGCAAGGAAAAUUCCUAAAAAACAUUAUUGAUUUGCCAAACCUCAAUCUCCUCAACUUGGGACGUAACCAAAACCUCAAUCUUGAUCCUUUGAAGUUCAAUCGGAGCAGCAAUCUCGAACAUUUGGAUCUGUCGUGGAUGUCCUUCUCUACAGAAUCCGUUAAUUCAGUUGAUAAUCUACAGGCCUUAAAGUACUUAGAUCUAUCAGGAAAUUCUUUCUUUCAAGGAUUGUCUGUCUCAAUCACAAAUUUAUCAUCUUUGGAGCAAUUGAUAAUUUCAGGCGCAAAUUUUUUUGGAGGAUUGCCUGACUCGAUGGGGAAUCUUGUGUCCUUGAAGUUUUUAGUUCUCUCCGAUUCCAACUUUUCAGGACCGCUUCCAAGAUCACUGGGAAACCUCUUUCAACUCAAGUGUUUAGACUUGAGAUCAAACAAAUUGAGUGGACAAAUUCCAUUGUCAAUUCUAAACCUAACGCAGUUGGAAUACUUGGAAAUAUCUGAAAAUUCUUUAGAAGGUUCCAUUCCAGAUGAGGUAACCGCUUUUCCUAAUCUAAUAUAUUUAUACUUAUCUGACAAUUUACUCAAUGGAACACUUCCGUCAUGGUUGUAUACUGCUCCCUGCUUAAAGGAAAUAUAUCUCUCUCAAAAUCAAUUCAGUGGGCAUAUCAAAGAAUUCCAAUCCAAAUCACUAGAAUUGAUAGCGUUAGAGAGUAAUAAACUCCAAGGUCCUCUUCCAUCUUCAAAAUUCCAACUUCUCAUCCUCAAGUAAUCUCAGUGGUGUCAUAGAGUUUCGCAUGUUCUCAAACCUUCCAAAUCUAAAACUUCUUGACCUUUCAUACAACAGCCUAUCCUUAGCAUCUAAUACUACUUCUUGUGUUAACCAUAUAUUGCCUAAUCUUACAGACUUACGUUUGUCAUCUUGCAAUCUUAGUGAAUUCCCCCAAUUUUUGAAAGG
rnacentral:lncRNA from 1 species